rnacentral:rRNA from 1 species
AGUGAACGCUGGCGGUAGGCCUAACACAUGCAAGUCGAACGGCAGCACAAGGGAGCUUGCUCCCUGGGUGGCGAGUGGCGGACGGGUGAGGAAUACAUCGGAAUCUACCUUGUCGUGGGGGAUAACCUCGGGAAACCGGGACUAAUACCGCAUACGACCUUCGGGUGAAGUAGGGAGUCGCAAGACCUUACGCGAUUGGA